rnacentral:ribozyme from 1 species
UGUAUUUCUCACCCUUUGGGACUCACUGGCUGAAUCUUCAAGUUUCUUGAUUGGGCAACUUCUUGCAAUCAAAAAUGUACGAGUCGUUUUGACACCCAACGAGGG